ensembl:snoRNA SNORD18 Small nucleolar RNA SNORD18
CAUCAAUGAUGAGCUCCCACUUCAGGUCCGUGUUUCUGAACCCUGAUUAUCUGGAAGUCCUGAGUCU